AUUUAGUAAAGGAUUUAAUUGAGAGAUACAACGUUUCAAAGUUUGGAGUUUUCAAGCAACUAAGAUGAAGAGUGUCACAUUGGUUGUAUUGCUAGCAGUUACCCUUGGGUAUGCAGCUGUAGACGGUGACGACCUUCUUGAAGCUCCUUCUACCGGACCAGAAGGAAUAAGUACUCGUAAUGGAAUCUUAUCCAUAGGAGACGAUAAUGGUAGAUUGUUUUCUAGCACGACCCACCAAGUACUUUCAUCGCCGAAUGUAUUACACAAACAAGAAGUUUUAAUACGGUUGGUUGAAUACGCCAACAUUACUGGGAUUCGGGCAAAUCCUUCAAGCACGUUAGGAGUAGUCACCCUUAUAGACGGUGGACUGGGACACAAUUACGUCAAACUAGGUUUUAAUUCUCAAAAGAAUUUAGGUUAUUUAUAUAGGAUUUUGGUAUACGGUUCACUGGUUUGUGACGAUUAAAAUAAGCUAUUUUAUCGAUAAAUAAAAGCCUGUCAAACAUGAA